UAAUGAUGGUGUGGGGAAGUGAAUGGAAUGAGGAGAGGGGCUUUCAGAGUUGACUCCACAUGGUCUCAAUGGAAAUACUUCAUAAUGAGUGUCCCAAACCAACUGAAGUAGAAGUCUACUAAUCAAGAUGAAGCAGCAAGUGGCCAAACAGCCAGUUUUUCCCCUCCAGACAACUUACUGGUUUGGAGUGUUCCAGAGGCUGUUGAUGGAAGAGAUAAAUCACUUUGACAAUGGGACCAUGGGAAAACACACUACCACUUGACGCCAGAUAUUCUUAGUACCUAAUUACUGUGAUCUCAAUACAAAUGAACAGUCAAUGAGAAGAUUCCAAUGUGCUGUUUAUGUGUGUGGAUUAUGAGAGAACUUUAACAAAACAUCAGGUAUUAUAAAUAUCUUAUCCUUUUUCAAUGUAAAACUUUCCCCGAGAAGACUGUGAUGCUUACUCUUGUCUCUUAGAUUUGGGUUCCCAAGCAGAAUAAAGGUG
rnacentral:lncRNA from 1 species